GGCUUAACACAUGCAAGUCGAACGGGCGUAGCAAUACGUCAGUGGCAGACGGGUGAGUAACGCGUGGGAACGUACCUUUUGGUUCGGAACAACUGAGGGAAACUUCAGCUAAUACCGGAUAAGCCCUUACGGGGAAAGAUUUAUCGCCGAAAGAUCGGCCCGCGUCUGAUUAGCUAGUUGGUGAGGUAAUGGCUCACCAAGGCGACGAUCAGUAGCUGGUCUGAGAGGAUGAUCAGCCACAUUGGGACUGAGACACGGCCCAAACUCCUACGGGAGGCAGCAGUGGGGAAUAUUGGACAAUGGGCGAAAGCCUGAUCCAGCCAUGCCGCGUGGGUGAUGAAGGCCCUAGGGUUGUAAAG
rnacentral:rRNA from 1 species